GCCUGAACUAUUUGAUAAAUCUUCUCAGUUGGGUAGCAAUAGGAAAAAGCAUCUGGGUAACGCCUACAGGAAGCUCCAGCUGAUUGGAAAUAAACGGGCUCUGUGUUCAGCAACAGCUGCAACAACAGAGGCCUGGGCCUCGAUAGGUGGACGCGCAGGGAGCAAGCUGAGCUGGGGCCUGGAAUUUCCCGAAAUGAAAUCCGAGAAUAUUUAGAUUGACCUUCUCUCUCUCAGCACAGUUGACCCUUGAGAAAUAACAGAUGACACAUCGCGAACACACUAAACUUCCACAACAGCAGCUCAAAAGAAAAAAAACCUGGAAAAGGCUUGGGAGUCCUCUUGCAAUGCUGGAAGAAUAAACUGGUCGACUUGACUGCCUUCUGUUUGGGGAGUAAACAAAGAAAUUAUUUAAGAAUCAUAUAUGCGGGGGCUGCUGUGGAAUGCACGGUUUCCAGAACACAGAUUUAUCUGACGACUGUGCUCAGGCUUCCCACACUGCAGGACCCGCAUUUCCAUAGCGGCCAGGGUUACGAGGACGUAAGACAGAAGCUGUGAACCGUACUUAGAAAAGCUGAUCCUAGAAAAAUGCAGUGGGGAGAAAGACUGAAACGUUUGGAGAAUUACACAUAAGCAGCAUUUCCCUCUCAGGCCGUAGCUCUCUGGACUGUGUGACCAUAUACCAGCUUCUCAAAAGCGACUAAUGUCAUCAAUUAGCCAGAGCUGUGUUCUACACCGUCAUCUGCAGAAGCCGCCAAACCCAGGGAGCAGAAAAUGCUUCAGGCCUGUUCUUAUAAAUGUAACCAAACUCAAUGGGGCUCGUCUCUUGGUGAAUGCGGAGCCGAAAAGCACAACCAAGGCAGAAGUAGGUGAAGAAAAGUUAUUGCUUGCACAAGCAAUGGAGAACACCUGAGAUAACUCCCAGAGUAGCUCUCUCUGAGCUCAGCGCCAGCAGAGACUUCAUACACAAGAGAGUAGGAGAUAAAAGGUUUAUUUAUAACACCUGUGUAACAACUGUUUCAUUUAAGGCGCAUACAUAGCAGGUGUACAUGUUACUACAUACAUGGCAUGAUCUAAAAGUGGCUGUUUGGACUUUCCCAGAGGAGGAGAAUUUAAGAUCCUAAUAAGUUAAAGUAACUUUAGGAUGCCUGGAGCUGAAACAUUUUGCAGGAGGUCUCUCUGCAAACCUGUGGUUUCUCUGCAAAACAGCAAUAUCAGGGACAACAACUUCUGCAAAACAGAACACAUAGUUCCCUUGUGUCUGGAAAACUCUUGACAGAUUAUGUCCGUUGCUAACCAGAUCCUCAGUAACUCUUUCUUUGCCUGGCUUCCCUGUCACAGAAGGAUUGAUGAAACAGCAGCCCCACAGCAGCCUGUUCUGCCAUCUUUGUCUUCAUUGCCGGCUCCGCUCGCCCCACUCCCCGUCUCCCAUCCUGUCAGAUGUCUCCCACCUCAGCCAGCUGCCCCUGCCCCACUACCAUGAGCACAGCUUCUAGUCCCUAGUGCCUCUUUUUCCCCCUUUCCUUAUUUCUUUUGCUUCUGUCUCCUGUUUUCCUUGAUUUCUCUGCAGAAAGGCAUCACUAAUUAGCAUAUUCUUUACCUUCUUUUCCUUCUAGACAGAAAACUGACCAAUCCUAACACAUUGGUCUUUGGUUCUUCUGCACUAUUUUCAUGCUGGUUGUUUAAAAGUGCUUCCUUCCCUACCGCAAGGUACUCUAUUUCUCUUUCUAUUCAGAAUGCUUGAGGGUGAAAACAGAUCUGAGCACUAGUUGCCUGAGGUUU
rnacentral:lncRNA from 1 species